GUUCCCAGGCUAUGGGUCAAAUAGGAGCUGUAGCUGCUGGCCUACACCACAACCAAAGCAACACCAGAUACUAGCCACAUCCGUGACCUACACCACAGGUUACAGCAAUGCCAGACUCUUAAUCCACUGAACUGAGGAUAGGGAUUGAACCUGCAUCCUCUUGGAUUCUAGUCAGAUUCAUUUCUGCUGAACCAUGAUGGGAACUCCCCAUAUGGUGACCUUUUAAAUCAAUCCUACAAGAACAGUGCAAAAAACAGAAAAUACUGUAUGAACAUAGAUGAUAACUACAGUAUUUAAGAGCUAGAAACCUAAAUGGUCGAGGAAUAGAAAUAUGAGGUUAAAGAUAAAACACUUUGAUGGAAUGUUUUCAGACAUUAACAUCAUUGUGAAGACCAUGCAGGACAAUGAAUGCCUAUUACUAUGUUACGGAACAAAGAAAAUAAAAACUUCCCUAAGUCUAAAGACAGAAUAUAUAUACAGACAGGAAGAAGGCCAUUUAAAAAAUCUAAUGAUAGGGUGGGAUUAGAAGUGAAUGGUGAAGUCCACUUUGAUCUGUAAAGUUUGAAAAUAAUACAAAACAAAAUACAAUCUUUGUUUUCUGCCACAUCCCAGCUUUUAAGGCCUUUUAGAUGUUCCUAAAUCUAUAAAGGACUAGCACCCCAUACAAUUCUGAUAUGCAGCUAAUUCUAGAAACCUUGACCAACUGGCUUCACAGUUUUCCCAAUGUAAUUUUUAAUCAGUCAUCCUCUCCAAAUUGGUUUACUCACUGUCCCAAACAUAGCUUUUCUUACGUAACUGCAUCCUUGCUCACAAUCUCCAUUCACUUAGAAUGACUUCCCUUCUUCUAAUUUUACAUACUACAUACCACUAACCUUGAAAAGCCUUCAAUGAUGGCUCAACAAAUGAUGGCUUUUUGUUGGUACUACAACACAAUUUGUGUUUUUAAAAACAAUUAGAGCUAACUGUGUACUGAUCUUUUGACAAAUCAAUUUUUGUAGGGAGCCAUGAUUUAACUUUAAAAAGUUCAAUUAAUCUAAACUGACCAAACCUUUCGAAGUAACUAUAUUAACUUCCACAUAUUUAAUUACGGUCUUCCCUUUACUGAUAGUAAGCUCCUGGAGCACAGGUCCUUGCCAGGAAGGAAUGCUACAAAGUAACCUAGAUGACUUGAAUCCAAAUUCUAACAUAUGCUCUUGUUUGCAUCAUAUAUGAAAGAAACUCAGUGUCUAUGAAUGGUCAUAAAAUACGCACUGAUAUCUAGGGCACAAGACAAUGUAGAAAUAGCAAAGGGUGCUAAUAAGCAAAUCAUUUAACUUUCCAAAAAAAUUUAACAAAAUCAUUAGGAAAGCAGCUACAUUCAACAAAACAAUGUUCCACUUUUCAACAUACAGACAUUUACAGAAAUAACUUCACAGUGGAACAAAUCCUAUCAUUUUUCAAAAGCAAACAUAUAAUAGUAACAUGGCCAAUCUUGAUUACUAAUGAAUAGUUAAGUAAAACUGCAUACCAGAAAUAGAAUUUUCAACAGAUAGCUGAUCCAGGUCUUUUAAAAUCUGGAACACUUUCCUUCAUGUUUCCUCGAAAUAAGGCUUACUCUAGAAGACAAAGACUUUUCUUACUUUUGAGUUUUUUACAUAACCCACACACUCAGAACAGACUGUUUUGCUUCACUUCUUUUUUUUUCUUUUUAGGGCUGCAUUUGCAGCAUAUAGAAGUUCCCAGGCUAGGGGGGAAGUUGAGCAGUUUUAUAUGUUUUAUAAUUUCUUUACCAAAAAAAAAAAAAAAAUCACUUCUCAACUCUUACUGAAAUAUCUUUUCUAUAUGCCAAAAUUUUAAAUAUGGAGGAAAAAAAUCAUGAAAAUGUUCACACUGUUUCUUGAUAAAAAUAUGAAGCACUUAAAAAAUCCAGAAAUGGGAAAGGCAUAAUUGAGUAAACAGACUCAUAAGUAUGUCCUAAUCUGGGGACUUCAUUCUAAAGUAUCACAUCAGGAAGCUAGUUAUACAGACUUAUUUGAACCUUUGACCAAACAAACACUUUUCAACUACCAUUUUUUCAUUUUGCUAUUUAUGGUUCUACUUACUGGUCCACAGAAAAACUUUUUCAGGCAGGCUCACCUCAGUAAUACUUUCGGGUAUUUGUCACUGAACUGUCCUGUUUUCUUCUGACCAACUGCCAAAAAAAAAAUCUCAAUAAAUUAUUAAAUCAUUCAAUCAUUUUCUAGUCUGGAGCCCCAUGAAUAAGAGGGUUCAAAUCAAGAAUAUUAUGAAGAUAAUUUUAUGCAGUUAUUUAGAUCAGUGUGACAAGGUCAUUCGAUAGAAAAACUAACAUGCAUUUAUUUUAACUAAGAAAUUACUUUUCUAGUAAUUCUAAGAAAAGGCACUAUUGUGAAUGAAAAAUUGACUCAAUUAAGAUAUUCUCCUAACGAGUAAAUGUAGUCAAUGUGGACUACCAUUGAUUUUUACAUAUUUAAUUAUUUCAUUCUUUAACUCAACUUGCUAAUUAAUACUUUAUUUCCACAAUUUCAAAUGUAAUUUUGUUCUAUUGAAAACAACACAAGAUCACAACAAGCUCAACGGCUGCCUUGAACAAAGUCCUACCGGGGAGGACCUUUCCUCUAAGGAGUGAUGAUAAGGGUUAGGUCAGGAGUUUUCAGUCCCUGUAUUUCCUCCCCCAAAGUAGUAUAAGGCUCCAGAAGGGUGGCACAGCUGCACGUCUAAAGUAGCAGGGCUGCUGCCAAGAGAAUUCCUCAGCGCCCCAAACCCAGUUUCCUUAUUGCCUCAUCGCGGGAGGAGCACGCGGAAACACCUCUCCCCAGGUAGGGAGGGUCUAAGAACCUUACCUUCCCCGUCUUCCUGAAAAAGGAGCCUAUAACUGGUGACACUCGAUCACAGAGUAUGACAAGCUGCCGAAACCCACUUCCAAAGAAGGGAAGUACUGCUCCCAGAGAAGAGGAGCCCAAAGGAUCGGCCAGGAAAAAAAGACCAGCUCGUCUCCUCCGCCUCUUUCUCUUUGGCAGCGGGAGAGGAAGCCUCGCCCCCUCUCAACCCGCCUCCCGGCUCCCCUCCCCGCCGCAGGGAGAACAUACCCGGCCAUGGCUGCCGCGCGGCCCCCUCACUUCCGGUGCCGGUGCCUCCAAUGCUGCGCCAUCCCCCAGCCCACCGGACAACCACAGCUUCGAACUGACCUUUCCGGCAGAUCGCGACUCUUCCAACGUUCACUAGGUUUUGUCCUGGAGAGAACGGUGGAUGGGUGCCGCAGAAAAACGAAUCUACAGACUAAAGAAUCCGCUCUCGUCUGGCCAGAAACAUAAAAAGCGAUAGAGCUGCAGCCACCGCUGCCCAGACAAAAUGGCGCCG
rnacentral:lncRNA from 1 species